rnacentral:sRNA from 1 species
GGAAGGAUCAUUACUGAAUUGUCAAACGGGUUGUUGCUGGUCCUCAAAUGGGGACAUGUGCACGCUCUGUUUACACAUCCACUCACACCUGUGCACCCUCUGUAGUUCUGCGGUAUGGGGGACCCCGUCUUCCUUCUGUGGUUCUAUGUCUUUACACACACACUGUAAUAAAGUCUUAUGGAAUGUAUGCCGCGUCUAACGCAAUACAAUACAACUUUCAGCAACGGAUCUCUUGGCUCUCGCAUCGAUGAAGAACGCAGCGAAAUGCGAUAAGUAAUGUGAAUUGCAGAAUUCAGUGAAUCAUCGAAUCUUUGAACGCACCUUGCGCCCCUUGGCUAUUCCGAGGGGCAUGCCUGUUUGAGUAUCAUGAACACCUCAACUCUCAUGGUUUGCCAUGACGAGCUUGGACCUUGGGGGUUUUGCUGGCCUGUGGUCGGCUCCUCUCAAAUGAAUCAGCCUCCCAGUGUUUGGUGGCGUCACGAGUGUGAUAACUAUCUACGCUCGCGGUUGUCCACCAGGUAACCUUUGGUGACAAAGGUUCGCUG